AGCACACUGGCCAGCACCAUACAUCACAUUUUGAAUCUUUCCUUUGAGGAAUUGUCAGACGAAAAGAGCGGCUAAUUUUAUCUUGAGUUAUAACAUCAAUUCCUUUCACUCUCAGUGAUGAUGAAGAUUCACCUAAACUACAGCAUACAGAGAAAAUAAGGAGGAAGAUGACUAUAACCAUUAUUGGUAACCUUCAUGCUUAUAUUGCUAAUUAGUUAAGAACAGAUACAGAGAAAAUAAGGAAGAAGAUGUCUAUAACCAUUGCUUUGGUAAUCUCAUACUUAUAUUGCUAAUUAGUUAAGAUUUAGUGGUUGUGUUAAACUUGCUAUUGUGAAACAAAUUAUAUAUAGAGAGCUUGAGAUUAUUGUUAUCAAUCCUAUACUUAGGGCUGCCAAAUUUGGCCCAAGCCCAUAUGACAUGGCCAAAGUUGGGCUGAUUAUUUACCUGCCCAUUUAUUGAAGAGGAAAUUUUAUAAAUGUUCAAUAUUAAGUAAAAUAUUGCAAAAUCUUAGUAGAAUUAAUGAAUUGAAUAAAGUUGAAGAGGAAGUUUUAUAUCUGUUCAAUAUUUAGUAAAAUGUUGCAAAAUCUUAGUAGAAUUAAUGAAUUGACAAAAGUAGCAGCAAAACAUUUACAUUCCAGUCCAUAACGGAAUUGUAGACCAUGAAUCACGCUUGUACCAAUCUUUUUAUAUUUUGUAGCUAAUAAAAGAUUAUUGCUCCUAUUUUGGCUGAAAUAAUUUAUUCUUAAGUUACUGCAACGGUUCCUUCCAUACAUGGACUGAUAUUUUCCACCAUUAAAAUCUAGCAAAAUAAAUUUUUUGGGUAUAAAAUCUAUAACUUUGUCUCUAUUAUAAAACCUAUUUAUUUAUUUGUUUACCUUAUACAUUUUGUAUAUUAUGAAAGUUUAUAUUGCACAGGAAAUGUAAGAUUAUAUAUUAAGUAUAUCAACAUUAUAAACCAUGCACGCUUAUUCACUUACAUAUAAACAAUUUUAUAAUAAAAAAUUCUUAGGGAUAUCAUUAUGUAUAAUUAUCAAUAUACUUACAUAUGGCAUAAUUUUCCAUAAACCGUUGUAUAAUAAAAAAAUCAUAGGGAUAUCAUUAUGUAUAAUUAUCAAUAACGUAUAAUCUUUGAAUAAAUUAGGUAUAUUAUUUGUAAUACUCUAUAUAUUGACUUAUUGUGUAACGACUCGAUCGGUCGUUUUGAGCCCUAGCGCAUCGUUCUGCAGUCUGAGGUCAUGAGUAGCUUCAUUUAAGGUAUUAUGAGUCGUACGCGUGGCCGGAAUUGAAUUUCGGGAAGUUUAGAGCUAAUUUGGAAAGAGAAUUCUUAUUUCGAAAAGUUGAAGGAAGGAAAUAUGAUUGGAAUUUUUAGUAAAUGACCUCAGAAUCGGGAUCUGAAGGUUACAGCAGAUUCGUAUGAUGAAUUAGAACUUGGGCAUAUGCCCGGUUCAGGUUUUGGAUAACCCGGAAGCGUUUUAGCGCCUAUUGUGUAAGUUAGCAUUUUGGGAGAAAUUUCUUAGGUUUGGCAUGAAGUGCAUUUCAGUGUUAUCGACGUCCGUUUGGGAUUUUGAGUCUGGGCUUAGCUCUAUAUGGUGAUUCUGGAAUUGGGAGCGGGAUCAGAAUUGAAUUCGGAGGUCCGUAGGUCAUUUUGGAGCCAUUUGGCUAAAGAUAGAAAUUUAAAGGUUUUGACCAGAAGUGGACUUUUUGAUAUCGGGGUUAGUCAUUUGGCUAAAGAUAGAAAUUUGAAGAUUUUGAAAAGUUUGACCAGAAGUGGACUUUUUGAUAUCAGGGUCAGAAUUCGAUAUCGAAAGUUUGAGUAGGUCCGUAAUAUCAAAUAUGACUUUUGUGCAAAAUAUUAGGUCAAUUGAACACGAUUUGAUACGUUUAAACAUCUGAAGUAGAAGCUUGAAAUUUCAAAGUUCAUAACGCUUGAAUUUGAGGUUGAUUCAUGAUUUUAGCGUUGUUUGAUAUGAUUUGAGGCCUCGAGCACUGAAGUAGAAGCUUGAAAUUUCAAAGUUCAUAAAGCUUGAAUUUGAGGUUGAUUCAUGAUUUUUGCGUUGUUUGAUAUGAUUUGAGGCCUCGAGAAAGCCCGUAAUGUAUUAUGGGACUGAUUGACAUGAUUGGGUUGGGUCCCGGGGGCCUCGGGUGGAUUCCUAAUGGUUAACUGAUCGAAAUUAGGAUUUUUUGACAGCUGAAGGAUAUGGAUGAUAUUUCCGUUUCUGCGGAAAAGGGACCGCAGAAGAGGGAAGGGGAGCCACAGAAGCAGAUUUUCGGUCAAGGCUCAAGGACCGCAGAUAUGGUCGAGAUUUCACAUAAGUGGGACCGAAUCUACGGAAGGCAGAAAACAGAAGCAAAAAUGGUCGGUCUAGUAGAAGCCGCAAAAGCGGUUGAUGAUCCGCAAAGGCGGGACCGUGGAAGCGGAAUUUCUUCCACAGAAGCAGAUAGCUGGGAGCAGAUGGGGUGUAUUAAAAUCGGGAUUUGUCCAUUUUCUCUCAUAUUUUCAUGGCUUGGGCAAUGUUAGGAGAGUUUCAACAUAGGAUCUUCAUCAUUAAUGAUAAGGUAAGUUAUCACAUAUAUUCAUGGCUUGGGUAACGUUUGGAGAGUUUCAACAUAGGAUCUUCAUCAUUAAUGAUAAGGUAAGUUAUCCCAAUCUAUUUGAAUCAAAAUACAUCAAUUAUAUAUGGAUUUGAACAUGAAAAUUGUAGAAAAACUUGGGGUUUAGGAAAGACCUAGAAAAUUAUUGUUCUUGAAAUUUGACCACUAUUUUGGGUAUGAAUUUAGAGAAAAUCAUAUAUUUGAGUUCGUGAGUUCAUAGAUAAAGUUUAUCUUCGAAAGAUAACGGAUCUCGGGCACGUGGCCCCGAGGGCAUUUUUGUCAACUAUCCAAUCGGGGUUAGGAAUUGCUAUAAAUUGGAUUAUAUUGAGUUCCUUAUCAUAUUUUAAUGGACUAGUAUAACCAUUUGGCUAGUUUUGGAGCAUUGUGCGUUGGUUCAAGUCUUCGGAAGAAUGUAGAAUGCUGGUUAUGGGUCUUCAGAGCGAGGUGAUUAUCCUUUCUAACCUUGUAAGAGCAAAUUGUCCCCAUAGGUGAGUUAAUUGGUUAUAUGCUUCUUCCUUUCUAACCUUGUAAGAGAAAAUUGUCCCCGUAGGUGAGUUAAUUGGUUAUGUGCUUCUAUUUGUAGGGGAUACGUACGCACGAGGUGACGAGAUUCUGUGCUUACCUACUCUUAUGCUAUUGUCCCGGUAGUCUAGUACCCAAAAGCAUGUUAUACUUGAAAUAAUUUAAAUCUUAUUGUCAGCUUGUACCGCUUAGAUCACAUUUAAUUAGUUAAUAAUUUCUAAAAAGAUUAAACUCCAUUUUUAUUAAAUUGUGAAAGGGGAAUUGGAUUUUAAUUGAUUGCGAACAGGAUAUGUGUUUAAAUUUUGGAAUGGUCCGAACGCCUUCGCAGAUUAAAUAAAUGCAUCUAUGGUUUGGAAUGUUUUGUAUGGCCCCGUGAAAAUGAGUGCUCAGAUGUUAGUAGCUCAUAGAGUCGAGUCUACCUACGUGGAUCAGAUCUUUUUUACCGUUUCACUUAUAAUGUGUGAUCUGAGAUGUUAGUAGAUCAUAGAGUCGAGUCUACCUACGUGGAUCGGAUCUUUUUUACCGUUUCACUUAUAAUGUGAGAUUGAAAUUUUUCCAGAAAACUUUCAAAAUGCGGUCGCAGAUCAGCUAUGCGGACCUUGUUCCUACCGCAUAAUGAAUCAGAGAGCAACCAAUUUUUGAUGUCAAAGAUGCGGCCAGAUCUCCGGUACUUCGUGACAGUACUACCUCGUACUCAGCACAAGUUUGACUCAAUUUGGGUAUUGUGGAUAGGCUCACCAAAUCAACUCACUUUUUGCCAGUCAAGUCCACCGAUAUUGCGAAACAAUACGCUCGGUUGUAUAUCAAAGAGAUAGCGAGGCUUCAUGGUACGCCACUUUCUAUCAUUUCGGAUCGAGGAGCUCAAUUUACAGCUAACAUUUGGAGGAAAUUUCAGCAAGGUUUGGGUACUCAAGUGAAUCUCAGCACAACUUUUCAUCCGCAGACCGAUGGCCAAACAGAGCGGACUACUCAGACGCUCGAGGAUAUGUUACGGGCAAGUGUCUUAGAUUUCAAAGGUAAUUGAGAUGAUCACAUGCCCUUUAUAGAGUUUGCUUAUAAUAAAAGCUUCCAUGCUGGCAUCCAGAUGGCCCCAUUCGAAGCAUUGUACGGAAGAAGGUGUAGGUCCCCGAUCGGGUGGUUCGAGGUUGGUGAUGCAGAAUUAAUAGGGCCAGAUCUCGUGCAUCAGGCCAUGGAGAAGGUAAGAGUCAUUCAGGAGAGGCUGGUGAAGCCGAAUUAAUAGAGCCAGAUCUCGUGUAUCAGGCCAUGGAGAAGGUAGGAGUCAUUCAGGAGAGGAUGAAGACUGCUCAAAGUCGCCAUUAAUCUUAUGCGGACGUGCAUCGAAGAGAAUUGAAGUUUCAAUAAGGAGAUUGGGUAUUCUUUAGGGUGUCCCCUAUGAAGGGAGUCAUGAGCUUUGGGAAGAAGGGAAAAAUAAGUCCUAGGUACGUCAGGCCUAAUCAACUCAAAGGAUCGGUCAAGUUGCGUAUAGGUUGGAAUUUCCCCUGAAAUAUCCUUGGUGCACCCGGUGUUUCAUUUAUCCAUGUUGAGGAAAGUUGUGGGUGAUCCGUCUAAAAUUGUGCCCGUGGAAGACAUCAAGGUUACAGAAGAGUUAUCAUAUGAAGAGAUUCCGGUUGCUAAUAUGGAUAGGCAGGUCCGAAAGUUACGGAACAAGGAUAUUGCUUCAGUUAAUGUGUUGUGACGAAACCAUCAAGUCAAGGAAGAAACUUGGGAAGCGGAGGAUGAGAUGCAGAUAAAAUAUCCCCAUCUAUUUGAGUAAGUCUAGGAAUGAUCAUGCGAAUCUUAUCCCUAGGAGAACUAGCGUUGUGUCCCAUUAGGUGUAAGAAACCUUCCUUCUCUUCCCAAGUGCCUUGCUAUUGUAGUUUCUCCAAGUUGUGCUAACAAACCUUAUGUGUUGUAACUAUUUGAGCAAUGUGCAGUCCUUUUUGGUAAUGAAAAUUUUGUGCUCCCACGGUAAGGUCAUGUAGGGAAGUAAUAAUUAAUUUUGCAUGGAAAUGGUGUAUCAAAGUGUUCUAAUUGUGUAAUGACUUGUUUUUCAUGGAGGAAUCGAAUUGAAAUGAAUAAUUGUGACGUACCAUUGAGAUAGGUAAACGGUUUUAAUAGUACAGGAAAUUAAUGCUUAAUUUGAUUACAUGUAGUGUGCCAAAAUGGUUAAAAAGUGUAUCGAGAGGUUGAAUAUGUGCAAGCAUGAAGAUCGUGCGCUUUUAUAUUGUUGUAAAGGUAGCGAGUUUGCAUAGUAAUACUUUGGAAUAUGUUUUGGGGGCUCUCUAACAGGUGGUUAUGUCCAUAUUACAAAGGAGAGUCUGCCAAAAUGUUUAUAAAACAAACUCGAAAGUUAAUAAAAGUGUAGGAACUUGCAUAUCAUGUUUUCAACUCAUUUGGUCCCAGAGUCCUCAUUUGAGGACGAAUGAUGUUAAGCGGGGGAGGAUGUAAGGCCACGUGAAAAUGAGUGCUCAGAUGUUAGCAGCUCGUAGAGUUGAGUCUACCUACAUGGAUCAGAUCCUUUUUACCGUUUUGCAAAAAUGAGUGCUCAGAUGUUAGCACCUCGUAGAGUUCAGUCUACCUACAUGGAUCAGAUCCUUUUUACCGUUUUGCACUUAAAAUGAGAAAUUGAAAUUUUUCCAGAAAAUUAUUAAAAUGCGGUCGCAGAUCAGCUAUGCAGACUGCAUUCCUACCGCAGAAUGAAUCAGAGAUGAAAACCAAUUUUUGAUGUCAAAGAUGCGGUCAGAUCUGCGGUCACUGUCUGUGACCGCAGAUGAGAAAUGCGGACCGCAUAUCUACCGCAUUCCCAACUUGAGAGGUUCGAAACUUGAGCCAUUUCUGCGGUCUAUUCUGCGGACCACAUGUCAGUUUUGCGACCGCAGAUUGCGUCGCAGAUCGUUGUUACUUGGUAUUUUUCUAAAAUUUUAGACUCGACCCAUAUUUUACUAAAACACCUUCUCCCUCAUUUUUAUCACAUUUCUGAUCAAAAUAAGAAAGAGGGAGAGAGGGUUCUUGAGUGAGAAAGUAAGUUCUUCAUCAUCUAGUCUUUCAAAACAUUUGGAGCUCGGUAAAUUGUUGGUGCAUUGUCUUCUCUACUGAUUUCUCAGGUAAUAUCCCUAACCCAUUUCCCCCAGAUUUCAAAGUUUAAGCUUGGGAAGUGAGCCCCAUACACUUGUUUUGAAAUUCUUCAUAAAACUCUCAUGCAUGCUCCUAAAACCCUAGAAUCUAGCUAAACAAGGAAUUUGGUAAUAACUACGAGUUUAAUUUCUAAAACCUAAAUGUUGCUCAAGGACUAGAUUGACUUCUUGAUUGCUUGGCAAAUUGGAGUAGAGGUUUGAAGGGUAUAAUAGACUCCAGGUAUGUAUGGCUAACUGUGAUCCUUCUGAAAUCGCCCUGUGUUAGUUGUGAAUUUGUUUGAUAAUUGACAUUCAUGUGGGGAUCAUUCUGAAACUCUUGUGACACAUACUUGUGUGGUAACACUUUGUGGUGGAAGUUGAGGAACUUGUAUUGAAAGAGUUUGGAAAUAAUGGAAGCGAAAAUAUUAUGGAACAACGUGUAUGAUUGGUUGUGAAUAUUUGUUGUGGUAACCCAAAUUGUGUACAAAGUUGAUUAACAUGAGAAAAUUAUUGUUGCUAGUUGAGGAAAUACAUUACCUUUGUUGUGGUUCUAUCUUAAUAAUGUGCUAUAGUUGAUUUCUUGUAAUUGUUGUUGUGUUGUAUGUUGUUGUGAAUUGAAACAGUCAAGCGAGGUCGGGUUGCGCGCCGCAACACGGUGAAAUAAGGUGUGGGUUGGGGUGAUAAGGGUGGCCGAGGUAAUAAGGAUGGACGAGGUAAUAAGGGUGAAAAAUGGGAUCUAAUAUCACUAUUGAUAUGAAUACAAAAUUAUGAAAUGGGAGUGGGUUGCACGCAUGCAAUAGUACUGUAUGAAAUGGGAUAAGGUUGAACGCCUGCAAUGGUAUACCAAAGUCAACUCAAAUAGAUUACAACACACUGGCCAGCACAAUACAUCUGGCUCCUUAAUCACGAUACAAACCCACAAGACCGUGAAAAUACGGAUCAUGGUCCAUUUGCUCUAAAUAUUGACCGAAGUCAACUCAAAUAGAUUUUUAAGGCAAAAUUAUAUAUUUUAUUAAUUUUUAACAUAAAAGCUUUUUGAAAGGCAAAUCCAGAAAGGUUUAAAGAAGCUAUUGGAGGCUUCGAACAUAAUAUUACGGUUUAAAACUCUAGGUCAUCACAUAUACAUAUAUCUAUCAUAUAUACCAGGGACACCAACUAAUUUUAAGUUUUUUAUCUUAUCAUUGAUGAGAUAAUUUAUAGUAAUAUAUAUAUAUAAUCGUUCCCAGCCAGACAUUACUACCUAAAUUACGACGAAGGUAGUAAUAUAGAAAUAAUACCACAUAAAAUAAAAUGGAAGGGACACUAGUUAAGCCCCUUUAAUUUACGACAAUAAUAAUAAAUUUGUUGCAAUCCUACAAGUGAGGUCUGAAAUGGUAGCGUAUACAUAAAUCUUACUCGUACCUUGUGAAAAUCAAGAGAUUAUUUCCAACAAUUAUGUUAAUCUAGUAAUUAAGUCCCUCUAAUUUAGAUAUUCGAUUUCACUUUUUACAGUACUAAGGGUUGGCAAUCAAUCAAAGACUUAACGAAAUGUUAUCAAAAGUAUUAAAAAAAAUUAGAGAUGCUAAAAGGUAUAUAAACAUAAAAGACUUGCAAUACAAAGAGAACAAAUAAUUUAUUAAUUAUAUCUCCAUCAAUUUAAAUAAGCAUAAAUUGAGAUACUUAACUAUUUCACUAAGAACUUUUAACAUUAAAUUGAGAUUUACAGCACACUGGCCAGCACCAUACAUCACAUUUUGAGUCUUUCCUUUGAGGCAUCGUCAGACGAAAAGAGCGGCUAAUUUUAUCUUGGGUUAUAACAUCAAUUCCUUUCACUCUCACUGAUGGGGAAUCUUAAAAUGAAGAUUCACCUAUACUACACCAUACAGAGAAAAUAAGGAAGAAGAUGACUAUAACCAUUGCUUUGGUAAUUUCAGUGAUGGGGAAUCUUCAAAUGAAGAUUCACCUAAACUACAGCAUACAGAGAAAAUAAGGAAGAAGAUGACUAUAACCAUUGCUUUGGUAAUCUUCAUGCUUAUAUUGCUAAUUAGUUAAGAU
rnacentral:lncRNA from 1 species